UUUAAUUUUUCAUUUUCAUAUGACUUUUACUAAACGAGUUUGCGUCUCAACUUUUGUAACAAAUUAGGUACAUCUAUGGAUGGAUUAUAGAUAUGCAGUGUUUCAAAUUUUAAGGAGACUUCUAAGUAUGGUUUUUAGGGAAGUUUUAACAUUUUCACCGAGGAGGUGGUUUCCAAUGAAUAAUUCCCCAAAUAGCAUUACUUCAAUGACAGGCAUUUAAUCAUGGUGUUGAACCGGUGGAGGAUUUACAUAUACCAUUAGUUUGCCCUGUUUAAUCAGCGAAUCGCAUUGUUAUAUCCAACCAACCACCUUCAAUUAUCAUAUUUUCC
rnacentral:lncRNA from 1 species